rnacentral:lncRNA from 1 species
CUUUUCCAGGCUCAACGGCAUGCUGAUGGAAGUGGAAGAGCCUGAAGUCUUACAGGACUCACUGGAUAGAUGUUAUUCGACUCCGUCAAUGUACUUUGAACUACCUGACUCAUUCCAGCACUACAGAAGUGUGUUUUACUCAUUUGAGGAACAGCAUCUCAGCUUCGCCCUUUACGUGGACAAUAGGCUCAACGGUGUGCUGAUGGAAGUGGAAGAGCCUGAAGUCUUACAGGACUCACUGGAUAGAUGUUAUUCAACUCCUUCAGGUUGUCUUGAACUGACUGACUCAUGCCAGCCCUACAGAAGUGCCUUUUACGUAUUGGAGCAACAGCGUGUUGGCUUGGCUGUUGACAUGGAUGAAAUUGAAAAGUACCAAGAAGUGGAAGAAGACCAAGACCCAUCAUGCCCCAGG